rnacentral:rRNA from 1 species
ACCAACAGGGAAUUGCCCUAGUAACGGCGAAGUGAAGCGGCAACAGCUCAAAUUUGAAAUCUGGCGUAAGCCCGAGUUGUAAUUUGUAGAGGAUGCUUCUGGGUAGCGACCGAUCUAAGUUCCUUGGAACAGGACGUCAUAGAGGGUGAGAAUCCCGUAUGUGACCGGCCCGCACCCUUUACGUAGCUCCUUCGACGAGUCGAGUUGUUUGGGAAUGCAGCUCUAAAUGGGAGGUAAAUUUCUUCUAAAGCUAAAUACCGGCCAGAGACCGAUAGCGCACAAGUAGAGUGAUCGAAAGAUGAAAAGUACUUUGGAAAGAGAGUUAAAAAGCACGUGAAAUUGUUGAAAGGGAAGCGCCUGCAACCAGACUUCGUGGCAGUGUUCCGCCGGUCUUCUGACCGGUUUAUUCUCUGUCGCGAGGCCAUCAUCGUCUAGGCCCGCCGGAUAAGACCUUAGGAAUGUAGCUCACCUUCGGGGGAGUGUUAUAGCCUAUGGUGAUGCGGCGAGGCUUGGGCGAGGUCCGCGCUUCGGCAAGGAUGAUGGCGUAAUGGUUGUCGGCGGCCCGUCUUGAAACACGGACCAAGGAGUCUAACAUCUAUGCGAGUGUUCGGGUGUCAAACCCCUACGCGUAAUGAAAGUGAACGGAGGUGGGAACCGCAAGGUGCACCAUCGACCGAUCCUGAUGUCCUCGGAUGGAUUUGAGUAAGAGCAUAGCUGUUGGGACCCGAAAGAUGGUGAACUAUGCCUGAAUAGGGUGAAGCCAGAGGAAACUCUGGUGGAGGCUCGCAGCGGUUCUGACGUGCAAAUCGAUCGUCAAAUUUGGGUAUAGGGGCGAAAGACUAAUCGAACCAUCUAGUAGCUGGUUCCUGCCGAAGUUUCCCUCAGGAUAGCAGUAACGUUUUUAAAACCCCCAAAAAGGGUAAUUUGUCUAAAAAGAAGGGGGGGGGGCGGGGGGGGGGGACACCCCAAUGGGGUUUUCCACCCUCCUCGCCACCAGACUUCCCGGAAAAGGUGGCCCUUAACGUUUCCCCCUCCCCCCCACCGCGCAGAACACAUACCCUGUAAGAAAAGAGGGGGGGGGCGCCGCCGCCACCCCCCGGGAGCCCGUUUUUUUUCUUUUUUCUCUUUGUUUGGUUUUUAAGAGGUGCGGGGAA